rnacentral:rRNA from 1 species
UACGGGGGGAGCAAGCGUUGUUCGGAUUUACUGGGCGUAAAGGGCGCGUAGGCGGCAAAUUAAGUCAGCUGUGAAAUCUCCGAGCUUAACUCGGAACUGUCAGCUGAUACUGAUGUGCUAGAGUGCGGAAGGGGCAAUCGGAAUUCUUGGUGUAGCGGUGAAAUGCGUAGAUAUCAAGAGGAACACCUGAGGUGAAGACGGGUUGCUGGGCCGACACUGACGCUGAGUGCGCGAAAGCCAGGGGAGCAAACGGG